rnacentral:rRNA from 1 species
UACGUAGGGGGCAAGCGUUGUCCGGAAUCAUUGGGCGUAAAGAGCUCGUAGGCGGCUUGUCGCGUCGACUGUGAAAACCCGCGGCUCCAACGUGCGGGCCUGCAGCCGAUACGGGCAGGCUAGAGUUCGGUAGGGGAGACUGGAAUUCCUGGUGUAGCGGUGAAAUGCGCAGAGUAUCAGGAGGAACACCAAUUGCGAAGGCAGCUCGCUGGGACGGUACUGACGCUGAGACGCGAAAGCGUGGGGAGCGAACAGG